rnacentral:sRNA from 1 species
UCUCUUUGGGUCUCUCCUGCUCUCCUCUUUCUGGCCUGGCUCCUCUCUCUAAUUCUGCCUCUCUUCCUCUUCCCCCAUUGCCUUGCCCCCUCUCACUCUAGGCCCUCAGCUCCAGCCUCUGGCCCUGACCUCGAGCUGUGUCCUGAUUCUGUCUCUGCCCCAGGACUACAGGGCUCCAGGAGGUGCAGCGGCCUGGCUGGGGAGCCCGCCCGCCCGCCGGCCGGCCAGGGAUGGAAGCGACAGGAGUCUCAUUAGCAUCUCAAUUAAAGGUGCCUCCAUAUGCGUCGGAGAACCAGACCUGCAGGGACCAGGAAAAGGAAUACUAUGAGCCCCAGCACCGCAUCUGCUGCUCCCGCUGCCCGCCAGGCACCUAUGUCUCAGCUAAAUGUAGCCGCAUCCGGGACACAGUUUGUGCCACUUGUGCCGAAAAUUCCUACAACGAGCACUGGAACUACCUGACCAUCUGCCAGCUGUGCCGCCCCUGUGACCCAGGUGAGUGGGGAUGUGCCUGCGGGGGGGCUGGAUCCCCUGGAACUUGGCCCCUCCCUGAGCCCUCCCGUCUCCCCCGCCAGUGAUGGGCCUCGAGGAGAUUGCCCCCUGCACAAGCAAACGGAAGACCCAGU